AGAUGGGAUAAUUCCGGGAAACGGGGCUAAACCCGGAUACAUUUUGAACCGCAUGGUUUGAAAUUGAAAAGCGGGUUCGGCUGUCAUUAUGGAUGGACCCGCGUCGCAUUAGCUAGUUGUGAGGUAACGGCUCCCCAAGGCAACGAUGCGUAGCCGACCUGAGAGGGUGAUCGGCCACACUGGGAUGAGACACGGCCCAGACUCCUACGGGAGGCAGCAGUAGGGAAUCUUCCGCAAUGGACGAAAGUCUGACGGAGCAACGCCGCGUGAGUGAUGAAGGCUUUCGGGUCGUAAAACUCUGUUGUUAGGGAAGAACAAGUGCUAGUUGAAUAAGCUGGCACCUUGACGGUACCUAACCAGAAAGCCACGGCUAACUACGUGCCAGCAGCCGCGGUAAUACGUAGGUGGCAAGCGUUAUCCGGAAUUAUUGGGCGUAAAGCGCGCGCAGGUGGUUUCUUAAGUCUGAUGUGAAAGCCCACGGCUCAACCGUGGAGGGUCAUUGGAAACUGGGAGACUUGAGUGCAGAAGAGGAAAGUGGAAUUCCAUGUGUAGCGGUGAAAUGCGUAGAGAUAUGGAGGAACACCAGUGGCGAAGGCGACUUUCUGGUCUGUAACUGACACUGAGGCGCGAAAGCGUGGGGAGCAAACAGGAUUAGAUACCCUGGUAGUCCACGCCGUAAACGAUGAGUGCUAAGUGUUAGAGGGUUUCCGCCCUUUAGUGCUGAAGUUAACGCAUUAAGCACUCCGCCGAGGGAGUACGGCCGCAAGGCUGAAAUAAACCUGACUGUGACCUGUCUUGC
rnacentral:rRNA from 1 species